rnacentral:pre_miRNA from 1 species
AAUUUCAGCUGAAAAAGUCAUGAACAUAAAAGUUGUAGAGCUCAUCAAGACGUACAACUUUUAUUUUGGUUAUUUCUUCAUCCGAUAAAGUGAUAAUAAUAUUGUUCACAAAGUUUACAUAUCUCUCUUAUAGUUUAUAGAACCAGAUGAGACAGAUGUAAAUUUUGUAAACAAUGUUACUAUCACUUUGUCGGAUGAAGAAACGACCAAAAUAAAAGUUAUAGAUCUUGAUGAGUUAUACAACUUUGUUGUUGAUGACUUUUUCAAUUGAAAUC